GACGAACGCUGGCGGCGUGCUUAACACAUGCAAGUCGAACGGAAAGGCCCUGCUUUUGUUGGGUGCUCGAGUUGCGAACGGGUGUGUAACACGUGUGUAACCUUCCCUUGUCUUUGUGAUAUCUUCAGGAAACUUGGGCUAUUACCGGAUAGGAUCUCCUGCUGCUUGGUGGGCUUUGGACAUUUUCGGCUGUUGGGUAUGGACUCGCGGCUUAUCAGCUUGUUGGUGGGGUUGUGGCUUACCAAGGUUUUGACGGGUAGCCGGCCUGAGAGGGUGACCGGCCACAUUGGGACUGAGAUACGGCCCAGACUCCAACGGGAGGCAGAAGUGGGGAAUAUUGCACAAUGGGCGGAAGCCUGAUGCAGCAACGCCGCGUGCGGGAUGACGGCCUUCGGGUUGUAAACCGCUUUCGCCUGUGACGAAGCGUGAGUGACGGUAAUGGGUAAAGAAGCACCGGCUAACUACGUG
rnacentral:rRNA from 1 species